rnacentral:tRNA from 1 species
GCAGUGUUUGUCCAGUGGUAGAAUUCUUGCCUUCCAUGUGGGAGACCUGAGUUUGAUUCCCAGACAAUGCA